rnacentral:lncRNA from 1 species
GUUGAUCACAGAGCCCCUUCGGCAUGCUUCCUACCGAAGCCAUCUAUCUUGGCCCUUUUUACCAUUGGACACGUGUCAUGCUCCCAAUCCAUGCCCACAGUCCCACAUCGGAAAUAUGAGCACAGCGCACACCUCCCAAGGCCUAUAUAAGGAGACCCCUAUCCCCAAAAAGAGGGGAUCAGAACUAACGGUACGCUAUCGAUUAAUCUGUCAGUUAUCUUUACUAAAACCGUACUAACUAAAGCAUCGGAGAGCCUUCGGCCGG